rnacentral:rRNA from 1 species
UACGAAGGGGGCAAGCGUUGUUCGGAAUUACUGGGCGUAAAGGGCGCGUAGGCGGCUUAUCAAGUCAGGCGUGAAAUUCCCGGGCUCAACCUGGGGGCUGCGCUUGAUACUGAUUGGCUUGAAUGUUGUUGAGGUGGGCGGAACGGGUCAUGUAGCGGUGAAAUGCAUAGAUAUGACCCGGAACACCGAUUGCGAAGGCAGCCCACUAAGCAAUGAUUGACGCUGAGGCACGAAAGCGUGGGGAUCAAACAGG